rnacentral:misc_RNA from 1 species
UUUCCGUAGGUGAACCUGCGGUAGGAUCAUUACAGAGUUAGGGUCUUCUAGGCCCGACCUCCCAACCCUUUGUUUACCAAACCGUUUUGUUGCUUCGGCGAGCCCGUCUUCACGGACCACCGGAGGACCUCUCAAGGACCGCUGGCCCGCGCUCGUGGAUGUCCCAAACCUUUAAGUUCUUAACUAAGCGUAUCAUGACUGAGUACAAAUUUUUUAAUUAAAGGCAUAACUUUCAACAACGGAUCUCUUGGUUCUG